GUGCUUGCUUCAGCAGCACACAUACUAAAAUUGGAACUAUACAGAGAAGAUUAGCAUGGCUCCCGUGCAAAGAUGACAUACAAAGUUGUGAAGCAUUCAAUGUUUUU
ensembl:snRNA U6 U6 spliceosomal RNA